UUUUUUUUUUUUUUUUUGUUGUAAAAAUUUUAGUUUUUGUUAAUUUUUUUUUCUCAAAGGAAAUCAGCUGAUAGCAGUAUUGCCAAUUAGUUAUAGAAGCUAUAUAUUUUGUAUGCAGAAAUUCAAAGCAUGCAGAGAUCUCGAGUCGAAAACAGAGCAAACUCUUGCACACGAAAUGACUCCCACCACCCAACAAAUGCAACUGCUGCAAUUUCAAUUGUAGUUCUUGAAGAAAGUUGCAGAUUUACCAACAGUUCCGGCGGUCCUGUUAUUUUUUGGGGUUGCAACAAGAGAUCAGUGAUGUGGUCGAAUCAGUGGUUGAGCGUCUGAAAACUUUGAGCCGCAAGCACAAGCAUGCAACUCUUAUCAAGGAUCCAUGUGUCUCAGUAAAGCGGAUAUUAUGGAGCCCGAUGGUACUCUAUUUGGUAGGUUCUCGAUUUGGUAAGCUUGAAUACGAUCCACGGUAACUUUUUCUAGAAAACUUUUAAGUGCAAUUGUUCUUUCAAACAGGAGUUGCAUAUCCAAUUAUACGCUUAUUUUGGUGGGAAUGAGAUUCACCAGCAUUUGGAGAUCGAUGCUCAUGCUGGUAGUGUUAAUGAUUUGGCGUUCUGCAACCCGGCUAUGCAACUUUGUGCCCUACCUUGCGGUGAUGAUAAGGCCAUUAAGGUCAUGAUGCUCCCGUGCAUUCUGUGUGCCCUCAUAACAAGGAAAAUGUCCAUUUUUUCUUUUCAACAUCAGUAAAUGGAAAAAUAAAAGCAUGGCUAUACGACAACAUGGGAUACCGGCUGGAUUACGAUGCUCCUGGUCACUCAUCCACAACAAUGGCCUAUGGUGCAGAUGGUAAAAGGUACUUAUGAUGCUAGACUGUGGAAUUUGAACCAUUGAUCAAGUUGAUUCUUGCCUAAAUUUGUGGUAUAGACUGACAAUCUGCAUGUACAUAAGUAUAAGAGAUCAUUUCCGUGU